GGAAAUUUCCACAUGAUGUUGACAAGACCUGCUCUAUUUUUAAAAUGAAGAUAUAUAUACUGACAUAUAGUGUACAUGUACCUUGAAGAUUUGUCCCCCUUGUAAAUACAAGAAAUGCAAAGUAUACACAGAUAUAUACAUACACAUAAAAGGAGACAUCAUCUCAUGAUCUGUGGAUCCAUUGAAAACUUUAAGGACAAAACUGUUGAUAAUUCAUUCAUGUAAAGAGUGUUGACCUGAAUAUUGAAUAUCUAAAUGGAACUAAGUUAGAGAAUUAAUUUAAUAAGUAUUAUAUUGUAUAUUACUGAAUACUCUUUUUAUUCAUCUGUCAAAUUUCUUAAUUAAAAAUUAAACUUAAAGGCUUAAAUAAGGAUUUUUUUCAUUAUUUUAAUUAGAACAAGUUCUUUAAUUUAUUUUUCUCUUACAUAAUUGAUAAACAGGCAUUUAAGGUCAUGCGCAAUGUAGUUUGCACUUUAUUGGGUUCUUCCCUGGAGUUCAAUAGUUCCACUAAAGGAAGGACCUGUGUGCAAUAUUUUUAUUGUCUAUAUAUGGAUUUGUAAAUCUCCUCUAAAACAGUUUUGAUGAAAAAAAAAAUCUGGAAUUUAUGUUUUGUAAUUUUUGUACAUUUUUUCUUUGAAUAAUGCAAAUUUUUUCAAACUUUAAUAUCUUUUCAAAAUCCCUGGAA